CUGAAUGUUGGGCACCUCAAGUUGACAUUUUGCAGUGUGGGCCCCACUGAGUGUGCUGCCCUGGCCUUUGUGCUGCAGCACCUCCGGCGGCCCGUGGCCCUGCAGCUGGACUACAACUCUGUGGGUGACAUUGGCGUGGAGCAGCUGCUGCCUUGCCUUGGUGUCUGCAAGGCUCUGUAGUGAGUGUUACUGGGCAUUGCUGUUCAGGUAUGGGGGAGCACCAUCAAGGCUAAGUGUGGGAGCACCGAGCUGGGCUCUAGAAGUCUGGGCCCAGCUUCGCCUCUGCCACCCUGCUUUGCAACACUGCCCAGAUCCCUUCCCUUCUGGGCCUUAAUUUCAAUAUGUGAUGAUGACAGCCACACUUUAUUGACUGGCCUAUGUGCUGGGUCUGGUGCUAUGCUUUCCGGAAUGACCUCAUCUAAUCUCUACAACCACCCUGGCGGUUCUGGGGCAACAGAGUGGGUGACGAGGGGGCCCAGGCCCUGGCUGAAGCCUUGGGUGAUCACCAGAGCUUGAGGUGGCUCAGCUGGUGGGGAACAACAUUGGCAGUGUGGGUGCCCAAGCCUUGGCACUGAUGCUGGCAAAGAACGUCAUGCUAG
rnacentral:lncRNA from 1 species